GACGAACGCUGGCGGCGUGCCUAACACAUGCAAGUCGAGCGGAGAUUGCAGCAAUGUAAUCUUAGCGGCGGACGGGUGAGUAACGCGUGGGCAACCUACCUUUAUCUGGGGGAUAACACAGGGAAACUUGUGCUAAUACCGCAUAACAUCAUGAAGAGACAUCCUUUUAUGAUCAAAGGAGUAAUCCGGAUAGAGAUGGGCCCGCGUCCGAUUAGCUAGUUGGUGGUGUAACGGACCACCAAGGCGACGAUCGGUAGCCGAACUGAGAGGUUGAUCGGCCACAUUGGGACUGAGACACGGCCCAGACUCCUACGGGAGGCAGCAGUGGGGAAUAUUGCGCAAUGGGGGAAACCCUGACGCAGCAACGCCGCGUGAAGGAAGAAGGUUUUCGGAUCGUAAACUUCUUUGAUGAGGGACGAAUAAAUGACGGUACCUCAAAAACAAGCCACGGCUAACUACGUGCCAGCCGCCGCGGUAA
rnacentral:rRNA from 1 species